rnacentral:rRNA from 5 species
GUACGUACAAGCAGUGGGAGCACAGGUUUACCUGUGUGACUGCGUACCUUUUGUAUAAUGGGUCAGCGACUUAUAUUCUGUAGCAAGGUUAACCGUAUAGGGGAGCCGUAGGGAAACCGAGUCUUAAUUGGGCGUUAAGUUGCAGGGUAUAGACCCGAAACCCGGUGAUCUAGCCAUGGGCAGGUUGAAGGUUGGGUAACACUAACUGGAGGACCGAACCGACUAAUGUUGAAAAA